UUGUGGUACAGGCAAGCUAAGUUCUUCCUGAUAAGAAUCCAAAUGAUCCUCAGGUGGCUGAAAAAUUUCAGGCAAUUCUAUUUACUUCUUAUCUUUAUCCAAUCGUCUGGAAUUGGGCGAAGCAUAUCAAGUUUUGAGCGAUCCAGUGCAAAGAGAUGCGAAUGAUCGAAAUGGAAAGCAUUGCAUAUCUAAGUCAGUCCAUCCAUGCCUCAGGAAACAAUGCUCGAUCAGUCGAUCCCACUAUGGUUCUUUCUCUUCAUUUUUGGAAGUGAACUUUUUGAAGACUACAUCGGACAUUUAGCCGUGGCAUCAAUGGCUUCUACUGAAUUAGCUGUUGAAAGAAACUUGGAUUAAAUGUCAAGUUAUUCGCUUUUACUAGAAAUUAGGCAUAAUAACGUUUUAUUUUUCAUGAAUCCUUCUUUGUCACCUCGAAUAUAGCGGUAUAGAAAAUCUUUUAGUUUCCUAGCAAGCUUUUCUUCCCUUUCUCUUUGAACAGCCUUCAUUAGAUUGCAUUACAUUAAUUGAAGAUAUCUGCAAUUCAUUUCCUCCAGUAUUCAAGUUUUCCUUUUUCCUUUUUUUGGCUAAGUUGAUCGAAUAAUCAACCCCAGGUUCUUUUCAGUUGCUUCAACUUCAGGAAGACGUCAGACGCCAAUUCAGGAUCGAUGGUAGUGGCCCGAAAUUGACGUCGAAUCACAUCUGAGACUAAGCAAAGACACACUGAUGAAUUCACUAUGGAAACUGAAUGUGGUAGACAUUGAAGUAACUCUAUUCAUGUGUGACAAAUGGUUCUACAAGAAAACAACGUAAGGAAGGAAGAAAUCAAAAUGCGUGCAGUGGCUUUAAGAAUUCCAGGAAAAGAAUUUCAGAAUGGUGCUUGUGCAUUCGCUGUAAAUAGUAUACACAAAAUGCUUGAACAUUGAAAAGACGAACAUUUUAAAAGAUUCUGAUGAAAGUAGCGAUCAAGAGGAUCCGCCGAGAACAUAAAUUGUCGAGCUCCUUUCGUCACCCAGGGCAUAAAUAGGCUCUUCAGGUGUCUCUGUAACCCAGCAUUUGAUGUAGAUGAUGAAGAAAUUGUCUACAAAAGAAGAUGAGUAUAUGAACAUCAUUUCUAAGAUCCGGAUAAGUGUGAUUUUAUUGGCACUUGGAUAAAAUGCGUUAAAUGUCUAAAAAAUAAAUAAAUAAAAUUGGAAAGCCACAUUGCAUUCAGUUUAGCAAAAUCUUUGUUUUUCUACCAACAAAUAGAUCUCAAUUCAAUCAUAAAUUCUCUAUUAUGUUUUUUCU